rnacentral:rRNA from 1 species
CAGUCGCCGCGGGAAAACGAAGGGGGCUAGCGUUGCUCGGAAUGACUGGGCGUAAAGGGCGCGUAGGCGGUCACGAUAGUCAGAUGUGAAAUUCCUGGGCUUAACCUGGGGACUGCAUUUGAUACUGUGUGGCUUGAGUGUGGAAGAGGGUCGUGGAAUUCCCAGUGUUGAGGUGAAAUUCGUAGAUAUUGGGAAGAACACCGGUGGCGAAGGCGACGACCUGGUCCAUAACUGACGCUGAGGCGCGAAAGCGUGGGGAGCAAACAGGAUUAGAUACCCCUGUAGUCCCUGUCUCUUAUAC